rnacentral:misc_RNA from 1 species
GUAGGUGAACCUGCGGAAGGAUCAUUAAAGAGUUAGGGUCUCCUAGGCCCGAUCUCCCAACCCUUUGUUUAUUGAACCUCUGUUGCUUCGGCGGACCCGCCUCACGGCCGCCGGAGGACCGCUGAAAGGCGUCCUCUGGCCAGCGUCCGUCGACAGCCAACCACUCAAACUCUGAAUAAAUCGUGUCAUUUGUCUAAGUCUAUGAUUAAAUUAAAGCAAAACUUUCAACAACGGAUCUCUUGGUUCUG